UUCUCGUUGCAAGAAAGAACUUUAAGUCAUUCAAAAACUUGCUCUUAAGUUUUUAGUUAAAAAUUAAAAAACAGUUUCUUAUAUUCUGCUAAGAACCUAACCCUAAGAAUUCUGCUCUUAUGUAAGUGUGGCUAAAGCACUCAUAGUUAAUAUUUUUUAAUAUAUAGGCAUUUAGUGGUUGUUUGCUCUGUUUAGCAUUCAAGUAUCUAGUCUCUUUCGUUGUUU
rnacentral:lncRNA from 1 species